rnacentral:rRNA from 1 species
UACGUAGGGGGCAAGCGUUGUCCGGAAUCAUUGGGCGUAAAGAGCUCGUAGGCGGCCUGUCGCGUCGGCUGUGAAAACUCAGGGCUCAACCCUGAGCCUGCAGUCGAUACGGGCAGGCUAGAGUCCGGCAGGGGAGACUGGAAUUCCUGGUGUAGCGGUGAAAUGCGCAGAUAUCAGGAGGAACACCGGUGGCGAAGGCGGGUCUCUGGGCCGGAACUGACGCUGAGGAGCGAAAGCGUGGGGAGCGAACAGG